rnacentral:rRNA from 1 species
GGCUCUUUGAAAUAAAUACAUAAAGAGUCGAACCUGCCCAGUGAUUUUUUAAACGGCCGCGGUACUCUGACCGUGCAAAGGUAGCAUAAUCAUUUGCCCUAUAAUUGAGGGCUUGUAUGAACGGUUUGACAAGAGCAUGACUGUCUCUUAAAAAUUUUAUAGAAUUUGGUUUUUAGGUGAAGAAACCUAAAUAUAAUUGAAAGACAAGAAGACCCUAUCGAGCUUUAGAGCAAUUAAUUAAAAAAUAUAAUUAAAAUAAUUAAUUUUAAUUAAAAACUUUGGUUGGGGCGACUGAGGAACAUAUAAAGCUUCUUUAAUUAGAAUAUGCUUAUAAGCUAUGAUCCAAAAAGUUUGAUUAAAAAAAUUAGUUACCGUAGGGAUAACAGCAUAAUCUUUUUCAAGAGUUCUUAUCGAAAAAAAGGUUUGUGACCUCGAUGUUGGACUAGGAUAUCUCAAAGAUGCAGAAGUCUUUAAUAGUUGGUCUGUUCGACCAUUAAAAUCCU